UACGUAGGUGGCGAGCGUUAUCCGGAAUUAUUGGGCGUAAAGGGUGCGUAGGCGGCACACUAAGUCUAAGGUUAAAGUUCGAGGCUCAACUUCGGAUUGCCUUAGAAACUGGUGAGCUAGAGUGCAGGAGAGGUAAGUGGAAUUCCUAGUGUAGCGGUGAAAUGCGUAGAUAUUAGGAGGAACACCAGUGGCGAAGGCGGCUACCUGGCCUGUAACUGACGCUGAGGCACGAAAGCGUGGGGAGCAAAUA
rnacentral:rRNA from 2 species